UUAAAAUUUAUAUAUUAUUAUUCUAGAGUGCGAUGACAUCUGAGCACAUCCAACAAGGAAAUGAGGAGGCAGAUCCAGAUGACCAACUUGGGAAAAUGUGAAAAGUGGAGCCAUGAUAAGCAGAUGAUGAAUGCUAAAGAUCAGGUGCAUAAAGUCAAGCACACAGUCUGGCAGUUGACUGAGUCCUACACUGAAGAGGUCACUGACUUUAAAUGUGCCACUGUUACAAGAUGCCACCUUUGCCCAAAAGUUAGUAUGUGACAUUUCUGCUCUGCUAGAUCUGCGUUGGCCAACUGGAAGUGAUGUUAUAGUGAAGUGGAACCGUCGAGGAGCUACAACAACUCAGCCAUGUAGUGAAUUCUGAAAGUGUUAGGAACGGUGGCUGAGCAUCAAGAUUGUUACUCUGGGAUGUGACAGAAAAGACAAAAAGAACAUUUUUUCCUGUACAGUGAGAUGUAAUGACAGUGCCACCUGGUGGCUCAAUUGUGUCACUGACGUCCAGAGCAAGUGAAAAACCAGAACAGACUUAAGCCAGACUGGCAGACAGGUGCUGCUGCUGCUACUAGAGGAAUAAGUGCUGCUGUGCUAGUCCUUGUUACCACUGCUGUUUUGACUAAGAUGCUACUCCUGCCAAUGCAGUGAGCCGUCAGAGUUGUUGGAAAUCUUACACAGGAACAGUUCCAUGAACAACACUCCUGAAGUGCUACUACUAUUAUUACAGAUUACUUUGUUUACAACAAAUACAAAUGCGUGGAAGGAAAUAUCUGCAUGUCCAGGAGGGGGUGGACGGCCAGCUGACCUCGGUCAUCAAAACUGUGAAGGUGUCUGACUAUGUCUGUUACAAUUGACCAUGGACCCCCCAGAGGUUUAUUUUCUCUAGAAAUAACAAUGUCUGGAGUUUUUAUUUUCCUCUUCUCUGUCGUCAACUGGCCAUAUCUUUAUUUUUUUUUUAAUCUUUGUUAGCAUGACUUCAGGUGUGUAUUUACUAGUGGAUAAACAUUAACAGGAUGGCACGGUGGUGCAGUGGGUAGCGCUGCUGCCUCGCAGUUAGGAGACCUGGGUUCACUUACUGGGUCCUCCCUGCGUGGAGUUUGCAUGUUCUCCCCGUGUCUGCGUGGGUUUCCUCCGGGCACUCCGGUUUCCUCCCACAGUCCAAAGACAUGCAGGUUAGGUGGAUUGGCGAUUCUAAAUUGUGCUUGGUGUGUGUGCCCUGUGGUGGGCUGGCACCCUGCCCAGGGUUUGUUCCUGCCUUGCACGCUGGGAUUGGCUCCAGCAGACCCCCGUGAGUCUGUGUUUGGAUAUAGCGGGUUGGAUAAUGACUGACUGACUAACAUUAACAAUAUUAGUUAUUUACUGGAAUUUAAAACAGAAGUGGUACUUAUAAAAAAUGUACA